UGUUAUGUAGGGUUAUUUCUUAGCUUAAUUUAUAACUUUCAAAUACUUAAAUAUAUAGCAUGUGAAUCUUCAUAUCUAUUCUUGCCUAGGCUCUGCAAAUAUUAGAGAUAUUCAGCACAUACAUGCCAAAAAGCAACAAUAGCAGUUUCAGGGCUGGCCAGAGUGCCUGAGGAAUGUCACAUACAACCCACCUGAAGGGGGAUAGGUUUGCAAGGUGUGUCAGCUUGUGCUUUGUCCUUAGCUUGCCUUCUGCUUCCUCAUCAUUUAUGACUCAUGGGGCUGUGUGCUGUUGAAUAGUAUCUUAAAAAACAUUUCAUUGCAAUAUAAAGUUUGGGAAAAAUUGGGCAGAUUUACCUAUCACAGGACUUCUCAGAGCCUUUGAUAUAUCUUUAAGACUAAAAGAUGGAGACAAGGAUGGAAGAAGCACAUGUAAUUACAAAGCAGAGAUAAGG